rnacentral:misc_RNA from 1 species
AAGUCGUAACAAGGUCUCCGUUGGUGAACCAGCGGAGGGAUCAUUACAGAGUUGCAAAACUCCAAACCCAUGUGAACAUACCUCGUGUUGCCUCGGCGGCGAGCGUAGUGCUCGGGAGGUGCCUACCCGGUACCUACCCUGGAGGACUUGCGCAUCCGCCGGAGGACCACUCAAACUCUUGUUUCUGUGUGGCACAUCUGAGUUAUUAUAUUUAAUAAGUCAAAACUUUCAACAACGGAUCUCUUGGUUCUG